rnacentral:rRNA from 1 species
GCUUAGAGAGGGGUCAAUGUCCUAUCAGCUAGUUGGUAGGGUAAUGGCCUACCAAGGCUAAGACGGGUAGCCGGCCUGAGAGGGUGGUCGGCCACACUGGGACUGAGACACUGCCCAGACUCCUACGGGAGGCUGCAGUCGAGAAUCUUUCGCAAUGCCCGAAAGGGUGACGAAGCGACGCCGCGUGUGGGAAGAAGGCCUUCGGGUUGUAAACCACUGUCGGGAGUUAAGAAAUGUAAGGGUGUUAAUAGCAUCCUUACUUGACUAAGGCUCCGGAGGAAGCCACGGCUAACUCUGUGCCAGCAGCCGCGGUAAUACAGAGGCGGCAAGCGUUGUUCGGAAUUAUUGGGCGUAAAGAGCACGUAGGCGGCCUUGUAAGUCAGUUGUGAAAGCCUUCUGCUCAACGGAAGAACAGCAUCUGAUACUGCAAGGCUAGAGUGCGGAAGGG